rnacentral:rRNA from 1 species
GACGAACGCUGGCGGCGUGCUUAACACAUGCAAGUCGAACGGAAAGGCCCUGCUUUUGUGGGGUGCUCGAGUGGCGAACGGGUGAGUAACACGUGAGUAACCUGCCCUUGACUUUGGGAUAACUUCAUGAAACUGGGGCUCAUACCGGAUAGGAGCUCUUGCUGCUUGGUGGGGGUUGGAAAGUUUCGGCGGUUGGGGAUGGACUCGCGGCUGAUCAGCGUGUUGGUGGGGUAGUGUCUUACCAAGGCUUUGACGGGUAGCCGGCCUGAGAGGGUGACCGGCCACAUUGGGACUGAGAUGCGGCCCGGACUACUACGGGAGGCAGCAGUGGGGAAUAUUGCACAAUGGGAGGAAGCAAGAUGCAGCAACGCCGCGUGGGGGAUAACGGCAUUCGGGUUGUAAACCGCUUUCGCCUGUGACGAAGCGUGAGUGACGGUAAUGGGUAAAGAAGCCCCGGCUAACUACGUG